GAGGUAGUGAAGAAAUUUGGGACAAGAAACUAGAGUUAACUCGCCAUUCAUCGAGAGACAGAAGGGGGACCAACCGCACGCGUCGUUAGAUGUAACAAAUGCAACACGGUCGUGAAGGGCGCACAGAGGGAAGAAGGUAAACGAGCGUCCGAAUGCGUGAGUGUGGCCAGGAAAAAAGGUCGCCAACUUAACGAGGGCUGGACCAGCCGGAACCAGAGAUGAAUUCUUGCAUGCCUUCCAUUGAAACACCCUGCCGGAAAUUACACUUUUUACUUUUCCCCACCUCUGCGAAAUUGAGUGGGUGCCUAGAGCCUGAUGAGAAGCAUCCGCAAGGAAAGCCAACGUGCAACGCGAACUCCGCCCGCUGAAUGUUUAAAUGCACGGCAGGACUUUAUCUCGGAAUUGUACCCAGCAAGGGAUGAAAUCUGCGGCUGCCGGCAGCCAACACCAGCCAGCCGGAAAUCUGCGUGAUUAAGUGCACCCUUCGUUGGACGAUAAUUGCUCUACAAAUACGCGAAAUUUAUUGCGAAUUCACCGCUAGACAGCGGGGACACGUCCCUUUUGCAACCUACCACGAAUUUCCUCGGGACGACUACAUCUGACGGUCAAGCUAAAUAAACGAUUAUCCUUUCUUCAUUUCACUUUACAGCCGAUAAACAGUACCUUGACCAUUUGUAAAUUCUCUUCAAGGAAAGACGUCGUAUCGCCCACGUUAUCGUGCAGGAAACAGUUAAAAAAAAGUUCUCCUAGUUCGAUACGGUAUAUUUUACGGAACACCACGAUUAUUGUUUUUGUGCGGUUUGUUCAAAUCUCUGCAGUUUAUACCGAAUAUUUUUAUUCAAUGAACUAUAUCAAUAUAAAUGAUAUACGAAAAUGUAAAAAUAUCGAGUUGCAACAUACAUUAUACAGGCAGUUAUAAAACUGCUCUUGAAAAUAAUUUGUUGAAAUAUCAAAUGCUGCUUGCAUUGCAAAAAGUUAAUGAUGUAAUAUGAUUCGAUACUGCAGUUACUAUAAAAACAUCCGAAUAAUUCUUGCUCAAAGAUUUAAUUUUUAAUCGAAUAACAAGGAAAGGUAUAAAAAUAAUAUAAAUGAUUUUCCAAUCAUUAUUUCAGCCCGUGCUCGAUAUAAUUUCAUUAAAACUUUCGAGACUUUCAUCUCAGCCUUUUGACAAAUAUUGUGACAGUUAAUGUCUACAAACCUUA